GACGAACGCUGGCGGCGUGCCUAACACAUGCAAGUCGAGCGGGGUUGAAGCGAGAGGUAACUCGAGUUUCUACCUAGCGGCGGACGGGUGAGUAACGCGUGGGCAACCUGCCUCAAGGUCUGGGAUAACAGCCCGAAAGGGCUGCUAAUACCGGGUAUGCUUGUGGCCUCGCAUGGGGCUAUGAGCAAAGGGGAAACCCGCCUUGAGAUGGGCCCGCGUCCCAUCAGCUAGUUGGUGAGGUAACAGCUCACCAAGGCGACGACGGGUAGCCGGCCUGAGAGGGUGACCGGCCACACUGGGACUGAGACACGGCCCAGACUCCUACGGGGGGCAGCAGUGGGGGAUCUUGCACAAUGGGCGAAAGCCUGAUGCAGCGACGCCGCGUGAGCGAAGAAGGCCUUGGGUUGUAAAGCUCUGUCUGGAGGGACGAAGGAAGUGACGGUACCUCCGGAGGAAGCCACGGCUAACUACGUGCCAGCAGCCGCGGUAACUCGUCUCUA
rnacentral:rRNA from 1 species